rnacentral:rRNA from 1 species
AAUUUUUCGCAAUGGGGGCAACCCUGACGAAGCAACGCCGCGUGGAGGAUGAAGGCCUUCGGGUUGUAAACUCCUGUCGACCGGGACGAAAGUUAUCUGACCCAAUACGUCAGGUAAUCGACUGUACCGGUGGAGGAAGCCACGGCUAACUCUGUGCCAGCAGCCGCGGUAAUACAGAGGUGGCAAGCGUUGUUCGGAAUUACUGGGCGUAAAGGGCGCGUAGGCGGUCUUGUAAGUCUCGUGUGAAAGCCCUCGGCUUAACUGAGGAACUGCACGGGAUACUGCUUGACUUGAGGUCGGGAGAGGGAAGCGGAAUUCCGGGUGUAGCGGUGAAAUGCGUAGAUAUCCGGAGGAACACCGGUGGCGAAGGCGGCUUCCUGGACCGACUCUGACGCUGAGGCGCGAAAGCUAGGGGAGCAAAC